rnacentral:lncRNA from 1 species
AUGUUUCCUUAUGCCUGUGUGUCUGACACUGUGUAUAAAAAUUUGUCUAACGAUCUAAUUUUUCCAUCAGCAUUUUGCCAUUCUCUGCCAGCUGGCCACCACAGUGAAUGUCUACAGAUGCUUCUAUAUCCAUCAGGGACUCGAAUUUCUCAAAUGAAGAAGAUUUGAGCUGAAGUUAAUUAAGAGAGGCUAAACUGACCUAGAGAGAAGUGCAGUGUGAGA